rnacentral:rRNA from 1 species
UACGAAGGGGGCAAGCGUUGUUCGGAAUUACUGGGUGUAAAGGGUCAGUAGGCGGUGUGGCAAGUCGGGAGUGAAAUCUCUGGGCUUAACUCAGAGACUGCUUCCGAAACUGCUGUGCUUGAGUGUGGGAGAGGCGCGUGGAAUUGCAGGUGUAGCGGUGAAAUGCGUAGAUAUCUGCAGGAACACCCGUGGCGAAAGCGGCGCGCUGGACCACAACUGACGCUGAAUGACGAAAGCUAGGGGAGCAAACAGG